rnacentral:rRNA from 1 species
GACGAACGCUGGCGGCGUGCUUAACACAUGCAAGUCGAACGGAAAGGCCCUGCUUUGGUGGGGUGCUCGAGUGGCGAACGGGUGAGUAACACGUGAGUAACCUGCCCUGGACUUUGGGAUAACUUCAGGAAACUGGGGCUAAUACCGGAUAGGAGCUCCUGCUGCAUGGUGGGGGUUGGAAAGUUUCGGCGGUUGGGGAUGGACUCGCGGCUUAUCAGCUUGUUGGUGGGGUAGUGGCUUACCAAGGCUUUGACGGGUAGCCGGCCUGAGAGGGUGACCGGCCACAUUGGGACUGAGAUACGGCCCAGACUCCUACGGGAGGCAGCAGUGGGGAAUAUUGCACAAUGGGCGGAAGCCUGAUGCAGCAACGCCGCGUGCGGGAUGACGGCCUUCGGGUUGUAAACCGCUUUCGCCUGUGACGAAGCGUGAGUGACGGUAAUGGGUAAAGAAGCACCGGCUAACUACGUG